rnacentral:rRNA from 1 species
GACGAACGCUGGCGGCGUGCUUAACACAUGCAAGUCGAGCGGAAAGGCCACUUCGGUGGUACUCGAGCGGCGAACGGGGGAGUAACACGUGAGUAAUCUGCCCAUGGCUUUGGGAUAGCCACCGGAAACGGUGAUUAAUAGCGGAUACGACCACUUCCCGCAUGGGAUGGUAGUGGAAAGUUCUUUCGGCCAGGGAUGGGCUCGCGGCCUAUCAGAUAGAUGGUGAGGUAAUGGCUCACCAUGGCUUCGACGGGUAGCCGGCCUGAGAGGGUGACCGGUCACACUGGGACUGAGACACGGACCAGACUCCUACGGGAGGCAGCAGUGGGGAUUAUUGGACAAUGGGCGGAAGCCUGUUCCAGCAACGCCGCGUGAGUGAUGACGUGCUUCGGGUUGUAAACCUCUUUCAGCGGGGACGAAGCGCAAGUGACGGUACCUGCAGAAGAAGCACCGGCCAACUACGUGCCAGCAGCCGCCGUAA